GACGAACGCUGGCGGCGUGCCUAAUACAUGCAAGUCGAGCGGACGGAUGGGAGCUUGCUCCCAGACCGUCAGCGGCGGACGGGUGAGUAACACGUGGGCAACCUGCCUGUAAGACUGGGAUAACUCCGGGAAACCGGGGCUAAUACCGGAUAACUCUUUCCCUCACAUGAGGGAAAGCUGAAAGAUGGCAUCUCGCUAUCACUUACAGAUGGGCCCGCGGCGCAUUAGCUAGUUGGGGAGGUAACGGCUCACCAAGGCGACGAUGCGUAGCCGACCUGAGAGGGUGAUCGGCCACACUGGGACUGAGACACGGCCCAGACUCCUACGGGAGGCAGCAGUAGGGAAUCUUCCGCAAUGGACGAAAGGCUGACGGAGCAACGCCGCGUGAGUGAUGAAGGGUUUCGGAUCGUAAAACUCUGUUGUCAGGGAAGAACAAGUACCGGAGUAACUGCCGGUACCUUGACGGUACCUGACCAGAAAGCCACGGCUAACUACGUGC
rnacentral:rRNA from 1 species